CCUACGGGAGGCAGCAGUGAGGAAUAUUGGUCAAUGGGCGCGAGCCUGAACCAGCCAAGUAGCGUGAAGGAUGACUGCCCUACGGGUUGUAAACUUCUUUUAUAAAGGAAUACAGUGAGGCACGUGUGCCUUUUUGUCUGUACUUUAUGAAUAAGGAUCGGCUAACUCCGUGCCAGCAGCCGCGGUAAUACGGAGGAUUCGAGCGUUAUCCGGAUUUAUUGGGUUUAAAGGGAGCCUAGAUGGGUUGUUAAGGCAGGUGUGAAAGUUUGCGGCUCAACCGUAAAAUUGCAAUUGAUACUGGCAGCCUUGAGUACAGUUGAGGUAGGCGGAAUUCGUGGUGUAGCGGUGAAAUGCUUAGAUAUCACGAAGAACUCCGAUUGCGAAGGCAGCUUACUAAACUGCCACUGACAUUGAUGCUCGAAAGUGUGGGUAUCAAACAGGAUUAGAUACCCGUGUAGUC
rnacentral:rRNA from 1 species